rnacentral:misc_RNA from 1 species
ACUAGCUGUGCCCUGUCUCGCCCUCAUAGACCCCCUCUAGUUCCUACAGAUUGACUCCUCCACUCACUCUUCCCUUGGGGGAGACAUCACGCCUCUUGCCCCUCUGUAUUCCACUGUGUCCACAGGCCUGGCCCACCUUCUCGUCUGCUCCCCGGGCCACCCAGCCCUCGCCUGCACCCCCUGUCCCCUCUCCCAUCUUUCAGAAACCCGCUCUGAGAGUCUGGCAGCAGCGGGUCCGGGAGUCUGGAGCCUUGCCCAUGGCGGGAGAACAAGGGGUCUGUGGAAAUCAUGAGAAAGGACUUGAAUGACGCCCGGGACCUGCAUGGCCAGGCAGAGUCAGCAGCUGCAGUGUGGAAGGCAAGGACACGUGAUGGACCGUAGGAAGAAGGCACUGACCGACUACAAGAAGCUGCGGGCCUUCUUUGUGGAGGAGGAGGAGCAUUUCCUGCAGGAGGCUGAGAAGGAGGAGGGGCUCCCUGAGGACGAGCUGGCUGACCCCACUGAGCGGUUCAGGUCACUGCUGCAGGCGGUCUCGGAGCUGGAGAAGAAGCAUCGCAACCUGGGCCUCAGCAUGCUGCUGCAGUGAUGGCGCCAACCCGUGGCAGUCCCAGAGCUGGAGGCAGGAGGAUGGAUCCUCAUCUCCAUGGGAAGUGUCAGCGUGUGGCUGCCAGGGAAGCGUGGCAGGCGCCUGGCCUUGGGUCCAUCUACAUAGUUGCGUGUUUCAACAAUGUCCAUUUAUCCUUCACCCCGAGGCGUGUUUUGGGGGCUGCAAACACCUCCCGGUAGAGGCUGGACCUGAGGACCCUUCCCACCUGUGCCCGUCCCUUCCUGAAGUCCUAGCCACAGCCCAUCCUCCAUGAGUCCCGGCAGCUCUGGGUCAUGCCCUUCCCUGGUCACCCAUCUGCCCCUCACCUCGUCAUCCAGGGACCCAGACCCUGCACCUUCCAUGUGGGCCCACAGAUCCUUGGCAGGUACCUGAGGUGCACCAUUGAGUGUCGGAUUUGGGGUUAGCAUCCAGAAAGAAGAAUGCGCAUGACGCUCUGUGAAGGCUGGAACUCAGGUCUUCAGGGAGAGAAAGGAAGACUGGAUUGCACCUUGAUGCCUCCUGAGGAGGCGGCCCCCCUCUUGAGGUGGGCGUGGGCCCGGCCCAGCCUUAUCCAAGUCGCUCUGUCCACCUCCCCCUUCCUGGCCCCCACCCCACUCCUGUGCCUCCCAGGAGCCCUCCCUGUGCUCCACCUGCCUCCGCAGAAGGAAGCCUCUUUCUCUGUUUCCCUGGGUGAGGGGGCUGGCAGGUGGCUAACCCCAUUUAGCAUCUCCAGGCCCUGCCAUCGUGUCUCAUCUUGCUGUUAUCUCUAGCUCUUUCCCUCCUCCCAUUUCCUUUAGUAGUUGAAUUUUGCAAAGCUUGUAGCAGUAGCUCAGUUGCCUGCAGCAUCCUUGUGUGUAGAUAAAUUAGUCGACAGAAACUCAGCACUGGGGACAGGAUUGCAAAGUCGGGGACAUAGAUGCAGACAGUUGUUGAGAUUUGGGGAUAGCCGGGCUUGUGAGCGGUGCCCAUUUCCAGAUGAAGCCUUUCAGCCCUUCUGAGUCCCCGGCCCUUGGUGCGAUGUCUGUGAGUUUGACCUGCCCAGCGUGUGGGCUGGCUCAAUGCUGAAUAAAGUGGGUUUGUGUCAGCUCGUUUGCUUCGUCUCCGUGUGUCCACCUGGCCUCUUCCCCCUGCCCUGGCCACCCUCCAGUGUCAAAGGAAACUUCCUCGUGACACGUGCUAAAGCAUGGUGAGGAGGACUUUGAUUGGGACCAUUGAGAUGGGUGUGGGACCCUUUCCUUGGGGCCUGGGGGGAGAUGGGGCUCCACCCCGACGUAGCAGGGCAGGGGUUGGAGGAGCGAGGAGCAGUAUAGGGUCCAUGGGUGGGAAUGACUGUGAGGAGACAUCAGGGCUGAGGGGGCUCUGGCUAAACCCACCUCACAGAGUCCUUGCUGCAGGCAGGCAGGGCGAUCAGACAUUGGCUGCAAACGGUCAGAGAGGAACCCAGUCAGGUACCAUUGAGGGUGGUCAGAUAUUAUGGUUAACCAAAUUAGGGUUCUUGCUAAAACUGGAUUUCAUAAGAAAGGGCAAAGAGGGCCCUAGGAGAAGAUUCCAGAGCCUGGCCAGAGUUUGGCCAAGUAGAGAAUCUUUGUCAGCACGCCAACAACAUCCCGACCCUGAGACCUCCAGUUUGUCUUUCUCACUGUCUCCGCCUGCUGCAGUCUGCUGUCAUCCCUGAGCAUCCCUGCCCCUGCCCUGCACACCUGUGAUGCUUGCCCGGACAGGUCCUGAUGGCAGAGUCUCCCACAACAUCAGUGUCUCCACAUCACCAGGUCCGACAGUGGCUUCACCAUCCUCACCUAACCUAGCUGACCAGCAACAUCCCACCCUGUCAAUCACAACCUCUUUCUAUUUAAGAAAAUUAUAUAUUUAUGGGGCACAGUG